rnacentral:rRNA from 1 species
UACGAAGGGGGCUAGCGUUGCUCGGAAUCACUGGGCGUAAAGGGUGCGUAGGCGGGUCUUUAAGUCGGGGGUGAAAUCCUGGAGCUCAACUCCAGAACUGCCUUCGAUACUGGAGAGCUGAGUCCGGGAGAGGUGAGUGGAACUGCGAGUGUAGAGGUGAAAUUCGUAGAUAUUCGCAAGAACACCAGUGGCGAAGGCGGCUCACUGGCCCGGUACUGACGCUGAGGUGCGAAAGCGUGGGGAGCAAAUAGG